rnacentral:rRNA from 1 species
GUUUGAUCAUGGCUCAGAUUGAACGCUGGCGGAAUGCUUUACACAUGCAAGUCGAACGGCAGCACGGACUUCGGUCUGGUGGCGAGUGGCGAACGGGUGAGUAAUGUAUCGGAACGUAUCCAAUAAUGGGGGAUAACUAAUCGAAAGGUUGGCUAAUACCGCAUACGCCCUACGGGGGAAAGCAGGGGAUCUUCGGACCUUGCGUUAAUGGAGCGGCCGAUAUCUGAUUAGCUAGUUGGUGAGGUAAAGGCUCACCAAGGCGACGAUCAGUAGCUGGUCUGAGAGGACGACCAGCCACACUGGAACUGAGACACGGUCCAGACUCCUACGGGAGGCAGCAGUGGGGAAUUUUGGACAAUGGGCGCAAGCCUGAUCCAGCCAUUCCGCGUGAGUGAAGAAGGCCUUCGGGUUGUAAAGCUCUUUCGCAAGGGAAGAAAACUUAGCCACUAACAUUGGCUGAGGUUGACGGUACCUUGAUAAGAAGCACCGGCUAACUACGUGCCAGCAGCCGCGGUAAUACGUAGGGUGCGAGCGUUAAUCGGAAUUACUGGGCGUAAAGCGUGCGCAGGCGGCUUUGUAAGUCAGAUGUGAAAUCCCCGAGCUCAACUUGGGAACUGCGUUUGAAACUACAAGGCUAGAAUAUGUCAGAGGGGGGUAGAAUUCCACGUGUAGCAGUGAAAUGCGUAGAGAUGUGGAGGAAUACCAAUGGCGAAGGCAGCCCCCUGGGAUAAUAUUGACGCUCAUGCACGAAAGCGUGGGGAGCAAACAGGAUUAGAUACCCUGGUAGUCCACGCCCUAAACGAUGUCUACUAGUUGUUGGUGGAGUAAAAUCCAUGAGUAACGCAGCUAACGCGUGAAGUAGACCGCCUGGGGAGUACGGUCGCAAGAUUAAAACUCAAAUGAAUUGACGGGGGCCCGCACAAGCGGUGGAUUAUGUGGAUUAAUUCGAUGCAGCGCGAAAAACCUUACCUGGCCUUGACAUGUACCGAAUUUGGGAGAGAUUCCUUAGUGCUCGAAAGAGAGCGGUAACACAGGUGCUGCAUGGCUGUCGUCAGCUCGUGUCGUGAGAUGUUGGGUUAAGUCCCGCGACGCGCGCAACCCUUGCCAUUAAUUGCCAUCAUUUAGUUGGGCACUUUAAUGGGACUGCCGGUGACAAACCGGAGGAAGGUGGGGAUGACGUCAAGUCCUCAUGGCCCUUAUGGCCAGGGCUUCACACGUAAUACAAUGGUCGGUACAGAGGGUUGCCAACCCGCGAGGGGGAGCCAAUCCCAGAAAGCCGAUCGUAGUCCGGAUUGUAGUCUGCAACUCGACUACAUGAAGUCGGAAUCGCUAGUAAUCGCGGAUCAGCAUGUCGCGGUGAAUACGUUCCCGGGCCUUGUACACACCGCCCGUCGCACCAUGGGAGUGGGUUUUACCAGAAGUAGGUAGUCUAACCGCAAGGGGGGCGCUUACCACGGUAGUAUUCAUGACUGGGGUGAAGUCGUAACAAGGUA